rnacentral:rRNA from 1 species
GUGUCCUACGGGAGGCAGCAGUCGGGAAUAUUGCGCAAUGGAGGAAACUCUGACGCAGCGACGCCGCGUAUAGGAAGAAGGAUUUCGGAUUGUAAACUAUUGUCGUGAGGGAAGAAAUUGACAGUACCUCAGGAGGAAGCUCCGGCUAACUAUGUGCCAGCAGCCGCGGUAAUACAUAGGGAGCAAGCGUUAUCCGGAUUUAUUGGGUGUAAAGGGAGCGUAGACGGGAAAUUAAGUUAGUUGUAAAAUCCCUCGGCUUAACUGAGGAACUGCAACUAAAACUGAUAUUCUUGAGUACUGGAGAG